GCAAGUCGAGGGGUAACAUUGUGCUUGCACAGAUGACGACCGGCGCACGGGUGCGUAACGCGUAUAGAACCUACCUUUUACUGGAGAAUAGCCUUUAGAAAUGAAGAUUAAUGCUCCAUGGUAUUGAGAAUUCGCAUGAGUUCUUAAUUAAAGAUUUAUUGGUAAAAGAUGGCUAUGCGUCCUAUUAGUUAGAUGGUAAGGUAACGGCUUACCAUGACUGUGAUAGGUAGGGGUCCUGAGAGGGAGAUC
rnacentral:rRNA from 1 species